GUCUACGGCCAUGCCACUCUGAACAAGCCCGAUUCCGUCUUAUCUCAGAAACUAAGCAAGAUUUGGUCUGGUUAGUACUUGGAUGGAAGACCACCUAGGAAGACCAGGUGCUGUAAGUG
rnacentral:rRNA from 1 species